ACAGCCUUUAACACUUUAGAGAAUGGCAAGGACUUUUCGCUCUUGUCUCACUUUGCCCUUUGAAUCGCAAAAUUAUGACAGCUGUUCUGCUGUUGUAAAGUAGUGCCAGCAAGACGGUAUCUACUUGACAAAUUCUGUGAACGGAAGGACAGCGAACUGAAGGACGCAGCUACUAUUACUACUACCGCGCGCGGCUCUUAUGUCGGCUGUCAAAACGUGACGUCCUUUCGCUCAGGCUUGCGUUCUUGAAACUGCUCAGUUCUGGUAACCAGUGUUCUGUGGGAGUAUACCGUUACAACUGGAUACAUCUGUCGCGCGUAUUUAUAACCAACAAUAUGGAAACUCUGCGCUCAGGUUUGUGUGUGUAUCUUGCGUGGGCUUGACAGAGAAGAAACUAGUAACACUGAACAACAACGGAAAGCCAGCCUUCUUGUUACGUGGAGGAUAUUGUGUUCUGUUUUGUGGGAAGGCUACCUGGCUGCAAGCGCGGUCGCCUACUAACUUGGGUCUGACACAGUGGCGACAACAAAAACACACGGAUUCGUCUGUGGAACUAUAGGUGCUGAAUAGGACAGCUGUUCGAACGACUACACCGAGUCUGCUGUUGCCAGGCGACACAAUGUUUCGUCAAUGACAUCCACCACAGAAGCCGUGUGAAACAUCGAGCCACACCUGACCUCAACCUCCCUUCCCCUCUCCCAACCUUACCCCACCCCACCC